UACGAACCGUACAAACGUUAUUCGGAAUCACUGGGCUUAAAGGGCGCGUAGGCGGUUGGAUAAGUCAGCUGUGAAAACCACGAGCUCAACUUGUGGCCUGCAGUUGAGACUGUCUGGCUAGAGUGUGGGAGAGGGAAGUGGAAUUCCUGGUGUAGCGGUGAAAUGCGUAGAUAUCAGGAGGAACACCGGUGGCGAAGGCGGCUUCCUGGACCACAACUGACGCUGAGGCGCGAAAGCUAGGGGAGCAAACAGG
rnacentral:rRNA from 1 species